rnacentral:tRNA from 2 species
CCGCCCAUAGCUCAAUCAGGCAGAGCAGAUCCCUCUUAAGGAUAAGGUUGUAGGUUCGAUUCCUACUGGGCGGACAA